rnacentral:lncRNA from 1 species
GACAACCCGCUCCCGUCCCUUACCACACUGUGGAAGCUUUGUUCUUUCACUCUUUGCAAUAAAUCUUGCUAAUGCUUACUCUUUAGGUCCACGCUGCUUUUAUGAGCUGUAACACUUAACCGCCAAAAUCUGCAGCUUCACGCCUGAGCCCAGUGAGACUACGAGCCCACUGGGAGGAAUGAACAACUCCCCACGCGCUGCCGUAAGAGCUGUAACACUCACCGGGAAGGUCUGCAGCUUCACUCUUGAGCAAGUGAGACCACGAACCCACCAGAAGAAAAAAACUCCAAACACAUCUGAACAUCAGAAGGGACAGACUCCAGACGCGCCACCUUAAGAGCUGUAACACUCACCGCGAGGGUCCGCGGCUUCCUUCUUGAAGUCAGUGAGACCAAAAACCCACCAAUUCCAGACACGGUGAUGGUUGCACAGCCUUGUGAAUAUACUAAAAAGCACUGAAAUAUACACUUUAAAGUGGUGAGUUGCUGGGCGCAGUGGCUCAUGGCUGUAAUCCAAGCACGGUGGGAGGCCGAGGUGGGCAGAUCACCUGAGCUCAGGAGUUCAAGACCAGCCUGGCCAACUUGAUGAAACCCCAUCUCUACUAAAAAUACAAAAUUAGCCGGGCUUGGUGGUGCAUGCCUGUAAUCCCAGCUGCGCAGGAGGCUGAGGCAGGAAAAUCGCUUGAACCUGGGAAGUGGAAGUUGCAGUGAGCCGAGAUCACACCAUUACACCCCAGCCUGCCCAACGAAAGCUAAACUUCGUUUAAAAAAAAAAGUGAAUUGUAUGGUAUGUGAAUUAUAGCUCAGUAAAGCUGUUGCCAUAAAGUGC